rnacentral:rRNA from 1 species
CCUACGGGCGGCAGCAGUGGGGAAUAUUGGGCAAUGGGCGCAAGCCUGACCCAGCCAUGCCGCGUGCAGGAAGACGGCUCUAUGAGUUGUAAACUGCUUUUGUACAAGGGUAAACCUUAAUAUGUGUAUUCAUCUGAAAGUACUUUACGAAUAAGGAUCGGCUAACUCCGUGCCAGCAGCCGCGGUAAUACGGAGGAUCCAAGCGUUAUCCGGAUUUAUUGGGUUUAAAGGGUGCGUAGGCGGAUUGAUAAGUUAGAGGUGAAAUGUCCGAGCUCAACUCGGGAACUGCCUCUAAUACUGUUGAUCUAGAGAGUAGAUGCGGUAGGCGGAAUGUAUGGUGUAGCGGUGAAAUGCUUAGAGAUCAUACAGAACACCGAUUGCGAAGGCAGCUUACCAAUCUAUAUCUGACGUUGAGGCACGAAAGCGUGGGGAGCAAACAGGAUUAGAUACCCUGGUAGUC